CCCCUUGAUCAUUUAUCAAACUGUUUUGUUAUAUGAAUGUUUGCGUUCCUUAUCUUCUGCCCUUACUGAAGGAUAAACUUGAAAACAACUUGAAUCUGAACUUAAGGUCGGAAUUUCAAAGUCCUGGUUCUGAAGAACUCUGUUAAACCACUUGAUGUCAGUUUCCUUAUUUGUAAAAUGAUGGUGUCAAGUGCAAUAACUUCCUAGGGACUUUUCAGUUCUUAUAUUCUCUGAUGAUGUCACAGGAUUUUUAUUUUAUGUAUUCUCUUCUCCAUGUUACAUACAAUGCUUAUGCAUGAAAUUUGCCAGAUGAGUUUUGAAAUUUUAUUAUCAAUAUUUUAUUUAGUUUGUGUAUUAGCUUUAUGUUGUGGCUGUAACAAAUCACAAAAUUAGUGUCAUAAAUCAACACAGAUUUAUUACUUUGCAGUUCUCAAGUCAGAGGUCUAACAGGACUUACUGGGUUAAAAUCAGGGCAUUUGCAAAGCUGCAUUCCUUUCUAUAGGCUCUGGGAAGAUCUGUUCCUUGCCUUUUGUAGCUUCUAGAGGCCACCUGCAUUCCUUUUCCUUGGCUUGUAGCUCUGUUCCUCGAUCUUCAAAGUUACAAAGGCAAGUUGAGUCAUUCUCACAUCGAAUGUCUCUGAACUUGUACAGUCACAUCUCCCUCUUGAGUCUCUUCUGCCUUCUCUUUCCAUUUUUAAGUGCUCUUGUGAUUACAGUGGAUAAUCUCAUAAAAUCUGACCAUUUUAAAGUCAGUUGAUUAGCAACCUUAAUUCCAUCUGCUACCCUAAUUUACUUUUGCCAUGUAAUGUAUUUGUAGGUUCUGAGUUUGGAACAUAAACAUUUUUAGGAGGCCAUUAUUCCGCCUACCAUAGUUUAUAUUUAUCCAUGUACAUUAGACAUGUACAGCACUUAUAAGAUACUCUUCCUUAGAGUAUCUUUCAUUUUCCAUGAAUUAAAUAUUAAUACAUUAUUCUGUAAACCAAAGCUUUCUUCAUUUUUAGUGGAAGUAUUUAAGAUAUAUGAUUUUCAUUGAUUAAAGCUCAAUCUUUGAAAUGUUAUUCCUACUAUCAAAUAAUUUAUUAUUCAUUUCUUUAUAUGGAAAUAUGAAAGUGAUUGGAGAAAAAAAUUCAGAGGAUAAGAGUAAUUGUCUAACACUUAUUACUUUUCAGUUUAAAAAAAUUUAAAAUUAAUUUAAAAUUUAAAAAAUGUAACUUACUAGACUUAUAGGCAAAUCUAUGUAGCUAAAGUAUGAUAAAUCUUUAUUCUUUAAUAUGUUGUGGGAAAGAAUGAUGUUCUCCUUAACAUCGUUGAUCCAGAGGAUUGUAUCCCCAAGAAAGCACAGUAUAUUUAUUCAUAUCCCUUUGGUUCUUUAUGGUGAUACAUUGAAAUAUUUAAAGCUUUCUAAGGAGAAAAGGAAAAUAUGGACUUGAUGUUCAACAUAGCUGGUUAUUGCUAUAGUAGAGGAUCGUGAUUAAGGGUGUGACCUGUGGAGUUCAAAUGUCUAGGUUUAUACCUAAACCUACACUUAGAACUUUGGGCAAAUUGCUUAGCAUCUCUAACUUGUUUAUUUAUCACCUUAAAUUAAUAGGCCUUGAAGGUUUAUUGUGGAAGAUCUAAUGAGAAAAUCGACGUGAAGUCAUGCUAUAUUAGUUAGCUCAUAAUAAACAUUCAGUACCUGCUAGCUGCUAUUGUUGCUGUUACCCUC